GGGGGGGAGGGGGGAGGGGGCGGGGUCAGGGGAGGGGGCGGAGUCUGUUAAAUAAGCGGGGGCGGGGCCAGGCGGCUGUCAAUCAAACGGGGCUGUCAAUCAAACGGGGCUGUCAAUCAAAUGGAGCUGUCAAUCAAGUGUCAACUGGAGCUGUCAAUCAAACGGGGCUGUCAAUCAAAUGGAGCUGUCAAUCAACCCGGGCUGCUGUCAAUCAACCCGGGCUGUCAAUCAAGUGGAGCUGUCAAUCAAACGGGGCUGUCAAUCAAAUUGAGCUGUCAAUCACCGGCUGCUGUCAAUCAGGGGCUGUUAUUUGAUGAGCUGUCAAUCAAAUGGGGCUGUCAAUCAAACGGAGCUGUCAAUCACGCGCUGCCUGGAGUGUCAAUCAAGUGGAGCUGUCAAUCAAAUAGAGCUGUCAAUCAAACAGGGCAGCCAAAUAGAGCUGUCAAUCAAAUCUCCCCAUCAAAUAGAGCUGUCAAUCAAAGGGCUACCAAUCAAACUGAGCUGUCAAUCAAGCAUAAAUUGUCAAAUUGAGCUGUCAAUCAAAUAGAGAGGUCCCAUGGAGCUGUCAAUCAAUUCUAUCUAUCAAAAUGAGCUGUCAAUCAAUGAGCUAUCAAUCAAAUUGAGAUGUCAAUCAAACAGCCAUCACUCCAAGGGGGCUGUCAAUCAAUUCUAUCCUUCAAAUUGAGCUGUCAAUCAAAGCUAUUCAUCAAAUGGAGCUGUCAAUCAAAGGGAUAUCAAUCAAAUUGAGCUGUCAAUCAAAGAGCUAUCAAUCAAAUUGAGCUGUCAAUCAACAAACUAUCAAUCAAAUGGAGCUGUCAAUCUAUUCUAUCAAUCACAUAGAGCUGUCAAUCAAACACACGGCAUCAAAUUGAUCUGUCAAUCAAGCAGCCAUCACUCCAAUGGGGCUGUCAAUCAAUUCUAUCCUUCAAAUUGAGCUGUCAAUCAAAGCUAUUCAUCAAAUUGUGCUGUCAAUCAAAGGGAUAUCAAUCAAAUUGAGCUGUCAAUCAAAGAGCCAUCACUCCAAGGGGGCUGUCAAUCAAACCUAUCCAUCAAAUUGAGCUGUCAAUCAAAGGGAUAUCGAUCAAAUUGAGCUGUCAAUCAACAAACUAUCAAUCAAUUGGAGCUGUCAAUCAAUUCUAUCCAUCACAUCGAGCUGUCAAUCAAACACAAGGGAUCAAAUCGAGCUGUCAAUCAAAGACACUCACCGGCCCCUCCUCACCGGGGGGGGUCUCUGGCCGUGGGGGGGGGCUCCUCCUCCCCCGCCCCCCCCCCCCCCCUUUGCGCCUCCCCUGCAGCCGCUCCCGGCACCGCUCCAGCAGCCCCCGGCGCCCCCCCCCCCAAUUUGGG
rnacentral:lncRNA from 1 species